ACAUAUGCGCAGUGGCAGUAUCAUAGCCAAUGAGGUUAAUCCGAGGUGCGAUUAUUGCUAACUGAAAAUAUUAAAAAGCAA